rnacentral:rRNA from 1 species
GAUCCUGGCUCAGGAUGAACGCUGGCGGCGUGCCUAACACAUGCAAGUCGAGCGAUCUUCUUCGGAAGAGAGCGGCGGACGGGUGAGUAACGCGUGGGUAACCUGCCCUGUACACACGGAUAACAUACCGAAAGGUAUGCUAAUACGAGAUAAUAUGCUUUUGUCGCAUGGUAGAAGUAUCAAAGCUCCGGCGGUACAGGAUGGACCCGCGUCUGAUUAGCUAGUUGGUAAGGUAACGG